UACAGAGGGGGCAAGCGUUGUCCGGAUUCAUUGGGCGUAAAGAGCGUGUAGGCGGCCAGGUAGGUCGGUUGUGAAAACUGGAGGCUCAACCUUCAGAGGUCGACCGAAACCAUCUGGCUAGAGUCCGGGAGAGGAGAGUGGAAUUCCUGGUGUAGCGGUGAAAUGCGCAGAUAUCAGGAAGAACACCCGUGGCGAAAGCGGCUCUCUGGAACGGUACUGACGCUGAGACGCGAAAGCGUGGGGAGCGAACAGG
rnacentral:rRNA from 1 species